rnacentral:lncRNA from 8 species
UGUGUGUGCGUGCGGGUGCAUGUGCAUGUGUCCGUAGUGAAGCUGUGGAAUUAUGAGUAAGUGGAUUAAUCAGGCUAAACAUGGUCAAACAUUCUACUGAGGAAGCCCCAGUUUGGGGUCGAAACGUGUGCAGAUUUACUUUUUGUUCAACCAUUCCAUAUUUCUAGUAGCACUAAAAUAUCUCCUCUUUUUUUCCUUGUUCUCAUCUCUCCAGGGCAGACUUGGCCCAGUCUCAGCUGGAAACAUGUAGCCAGGGUGACCUCAUCGUGGCUUUGAGUCGUGACCUGGCUGCAGCCAAUGCCAGGAUAACAGACAUGACAGGUGCAAUCUCACAUGUUGAUCCAUCCCUUCAGUAUAUUAUGGUUUUCUCAUUUAUUACAUACUGCUGAAAUAAUGGCAGUAUGUAAAUGAUACAAUGAUACAAAGAAUAUUGAAAGCAAGGUGUGGUUUCUUAGUUAAUUAAGCAAUGAAGAUACCAUCAUGCUUAGGGUCAUGUAUAAAAAUGCUGGGCUGGCCAUUAUAUUGGCUGCCAUGGCUAUGCCCCCAUAGAAUGACAAUGCCCCCAUCCACUGGGCACAAGUGGUCACAGAAUGAUUUGAUGAGCAUAAAAACAAUGUAAACCAAAUGCCAUGGCUGCCUCAGUCACCAGAUCUCAACCCAAUUGAACACUUAUGGGAGAUUCUGGAGCGGCGCCUGAGACAUUGUUUUUCACCAUCAGCAAAACACCAAAUUAUGUUCUGUCUCGUGGUGGCCCAACGCUCUAUUAAGACACUUUAUGUUGGUGUUUCCUUUAUUUUGGCAGUUACCUGGAUAUGUCAGAUCACAUUCAGAAGAAGCACAUUUUUGUCUGAUAACAUAGCAAUCUCGCAUGGUGUGCGCUUGUGUGUGUGUGUGUGUGUGUGUGUGUGUGUGUGCGUGUGUGCGUGCGUGCGUGUGUGUGUGUGUUCGUGUGCGUGUGCGUGUGUGUGAAUGCUUAACUGUGUGUAUUCUGCAGGGGAGCUCAGUGAGCAGCAGAAACUACAGUUGGAGCAGCUUAAGGCUCUGGUUGUGGAUCAGAGGGUCCAACUGAGCACUCUCACUCAGAAGCUAAUGCUGAUGUCACAACUCGUGGAGCAGAAAGGGGAGGAGCUUGAGAAAGUGAGGGAUGAAUUGAGGCUUUGUCAGGUGGACCUGGAGAAGAGUCUCAGGGCAGAGAGAGAGAUGAAGGAACAGAGGACACACCCAGAGCAGACCCAGCCUGUCCACUACUCUGUUGUUCCCUGCAUACCACCACACACAAAGGAAAUGGCCACUGUCACCGCUCCUGCCAAGAAGGGGUCAAAGUCCAGAGGUUAUCGACACAAGGAGGUGAUUCAGCAUCAGAGGGAGGCUCUGUCAGAGAUGAGGGGCAGGAUCGGAGCCUUGGAGCAAACAUGGCCCCUGAGUAAGCAAGGUCAAAACUUUAUGAAUAUAGAAAGAAAGCUUGCACACAGCAUGUUUUGCUCCCAUGUGAUGUAA